rnacentral:snRNA from 1 species
GUGCUAGCUUUGACAGCACAUAUUCUAAUACUGGAAAGAUACAGAGAGGAUUAGCAUGGCUCCGUCCAAGGAUGCCACGAAAAUUCGUGAAAUGUUCCGUAUUUUU